GCGGGAAGGAGGCCCCCAUAGUCUGGCAACUGUGUCAUUUGCCCCCUCUGCCGAGUAUCCAGGCAGACCAACACAUCCACACAUCUCAUCCAAUUCCUCACUGAUGUUCUGGCCAUGUCAGAUGUUCCUGACUAUGGGAGUUGAGUUUUGUGUCACAGUAGUGCAUAGCCAAGACUUCUGCUGAACCCAAUAAGAUCUACUGUAUACAUUGAGAGCUUUGGAGGUUUUGG